GCUAGUAAUCGCGGAUCAGAAUGCCGCGGUGAAUACGUUCCCGGGUCUUGUACACACCGCCCGUCACACCAUGGGAGUCGGAAAUGCCCGAAGUCAGUGACCCAACCGGAAGGAAGGAGCUGCCGAAGGUGGAGCCGGUAACUGGGGUGAAGUCGUAACAAGGUACC
rnacentral:rRNA from 1 species